GUCAUUGUGGCAUAGUGGUUUGAGUGUUGCACUGUGAUUCUGAAGACCAGGGUUCGAUUCACAGCUCAGCCG